GAUGAACGCUGGCGGCGUGCCUAAUACAUGCAAGUCGAGCGAACAGACGAGGAGCUUGCUCCUCUGACGUUAGCGGCGGACGGGUGAGUAACACGUGGAUAACCUACCUAUAAGACUGGGAUAACUUCGGGAAACCGGAGCUAAUACCGGAUAAUAUAUUGAACCGCAUGGUUCAAUAGUGAAAGACGGUUUUGCUGUCACUUAUAGAUGGAUCCGCGCCGCAUUAGCUAGUUGGUAAGGUAACGGCUUACCAAGGCGACGAUGCGUAGCCGACCUGAGAGGGUGAUCGGCCACCCUGGAACUUAGACACGGUCCAGGCUCCUAAGGGAGGCCGCCGGAGGGAAUCUUCCGCAAUGGGCGAAAGCCUGACGGAGCAACGCCGCGUGAGUGAUGAAGGUCUUCGGAUCGUAAAACUCUGUUAUUAGGGAAGAACAAAUGUGUAAGUAACUAUGCACGUCUUGACGGUACCUAAUCAGAAAGCCACGGCUAACUACGUG
rnacentral:rRNA from 1 species